AGUGAACGCUGGCGGUAGGCCUAACACAUGCAAGUCGAACGGCAGCACAGUAAGAGCUUGCUCUUACGGGUGGCGAGUGGCGGACGGGUGAGGAAUACAUCGGAAUCUACUUUUUCGUGGGGGAUAACGUAGGGAAACUUACGCUAAUACCGCAUACGACCUACGGGUGAAAGCAGGGGAUCUUCGGACCUUGCGCGAUUGAAUGAGCCGAUGUCGGAUUAGCUAGUUGGCGGGGUAAAGGCCCACCAAGGCGACGAUCCGUAGCUGGUCUGAGAGGAUGAUGAGCCACAAUGGAACGGAGAACAGGUCCAGACUCCGACGGGAGGGAGCAGUAGGGAAUAUUGGACAAUGGGCGCAAGGCUGAUCAAGCAAUACCGCGUGGGUGAAGAAGGCCUUCGGGUUGUAAAACCCUUUUGUUGGGAAAGAAAAGCAGCAGGUUAAUACCCGGCUGUUCUGACGGUACCCAAAGAGAAAGCACCGGCUAACUUCGUG
rnacentral:rRNA from 1 species